CCUACGGGAGGCAGCAGUGGGGAAUAUUGGACAAUGGGCGCAAGCCUGAUCCAGCCAUACCGCGUGGGUGAAGAAGGCCUUCGGGUUGUAAAGCCCUUUUGUUGGGAAAGAAAAGCAGUCGAUUAAUACUCGGUUGUUCUGACGGUACCCAAAGAAUAAGCACCGGCUAACUUCGUGCCAGCAGCCGCGGUAAUACGAAGGGUGCAAGCGUUACUCGGAAUUACUGGGCGUAAAGCGUGCGUAGGUGGUUGUUUAAGUCUGUUGUGAAAGCCCUGGGCUCAACCUGGGAAUUGCAGUGGAUACUGGGCGACUAGAGUGUGGUAGAGGGUAGUGGAAUUCCCGGUGUAGCAGUGAAAUGCGUAGAGAUCGGGAGGAACAUCCAUGGCGAAGGCAGCUACCUGGACCAACACUGACACUGAGGCACGAAAGCGUGGGGAGCAAACAGGAUUAGAUACCCUGGUAGUCCACGCCCUAAACGAUGCGAACUGGAUGUUGGGUGCAAUUUGGCACGCAGUAUCGAAGCUAACGCGUUAAGUUCGCCGCCUGGGGAGUACGGUCGCAAGACUUGAAACUCAAAGGAAAUUGACGG
rnacentral:rRNA from 1 species